GUGUAAUAUUUUUCUUGUUUUUUUUAUUGGUUACCUUUCUCUUUCUCUCACUCAGGGUAUCUCCGGUUUUUGUCCCUCUCUCAGUUACUAUAAGCUUUUUUUUUUUAAUAUCCAUUUUUGUAUUUAUGGGGUAUUUUUAUGCUCCAGUCUCUCUACUGUGCUCUUAAUUUAUUGUGUUUUUUUUUUCAGUCUCACUUCAUUACAAUUAUGGUUGGAAAAAGUUGAUUUAGGGCUUGAUUUAAACUUUCAAAAAAGGAGAAAGAUCUCUAGAAACUGAAUAAGAAGGUUCGACCCAAGGAAUUAUGUGUUGGAGUGGUCCAUUCUACUUAUUGACAACUCGAACCGAAGUGGAUCAAUGGAGUUUGUUGUUUCCCCAACAGACUCAUCUGUAUUUUUCCCGAUUUCUGUGAACUUCUCUGCUACUAAUACAUUCAGUGACUUGAAA